rnacentral:rRNA from 1 species
UACGAAGGGGGCUAGCGUUGCUCGGAAUUACUGGGCGUAAAGCGCACGUAGGCGGCUUUUUAAGUCGGAGGUGAAAUCCUGGAGCUCAACUCCAGAACUGCCUUCGAUACUGAAGAGCUCGAGUCCGGGAGAGGUGAGUGGAACUGCGAGUGUAGAGGUGAAAUUCGUAGAUAUUCGCAAGAACACCAGUGGCGAAGGCGGCUCACUGGCCCGGUACUGACGCUGAGGUGCGAAAGCGUGGGGAGCGAUCCGG